UACGUAGGGUGCGAGCGUUAAUCGGAAUUACUGGGCGUAAAGCGUGCGCAGGCGGUUUGUUAAGACAGAUGUGAAAUCCCCGGGCUUAACCUGGGAACUGCAUUUGUGACUGGCAAGCUAGAGUAUGGCAGAGGGGGGUAGAAUUCCGCGUGUAGCAGUGAAAUGCGUAGAUAUGCGGAGGAACACCGAUGGCGAAGGCAAUCCCCUGGGCCUGCACUGACGCUCAUGCACGAAAGCGUGGGGAGCAAACAGG
rnacentral:rRNA from 1 species